rnacentral:rRNA from 1 species
UCUUUUCUAGUAUUUUAUUUGAAAUCUGACCUGCCCAAUGAUUAAUUAAAUGGCCGCGGUAUUUUGACCGUGCAAAGGUAGCAUAAUCAUUAGUUUAUUAAUUGUAGACUUGUAUGAAUGGUUGGACGAAAUAUUAGCUGUCUCAUAAUUAAUGUAGUUUAAUUUAAAUCUUUGAGUUAAAAAAUCGCUUAAAUUUUUUUAUAGGACGAGAAGACCCUAUAGAUCUUUAUUUUUAAUAUUUAUUAUAUUUUUUGGUUUUUAUUUUUAUUAUAUUAUUAUUUAUUUUGUUGGGGUGACAUUGAUAUAUAAUUAACUAUUUAUUUUUAUUAUUCAAUUAUUUUUGUUUAUUUGACCUUUUAUUAUUGUUAUAAGAAUUAGAUACCUUAGGGAUAACAGCGUAAUUUUCUUUAAGAGUUCAUAUCGACAAGAGAGAUUGCGACCUCGAUGUUGGAUUAAGAUUAUAAUUAGGUGUAGGUGCUUAAUUGUUAAGUCUGUUCGACUUUUAAAUUCUUAC